rnacentral:tRNA from 2 species
GAGACUGUAGCUCAGCUGGAUAGAGCGCCACCCUGCGGAGGUGGAGGUCGCAAGUUCGAACCCUGUCAGUCUCA